GGACGUGUGCCCGAGUAUCCAGGGGUUACUUUGAUAGAGUAAACCACAGGGAUUAUUACCCUCACCUCCU
rnacentral:tRNA from 1 species